GGGGUAGUGGCGGAAUGGUAGACGCGAUAGACUUAGGAUCUAUUGGGUUAAACCCGUGUGAGUUCGAGUCUCACCUACCCUA
rnacentral:tRNA from 1 species